rnacentral:rRNA from 1 species
GACGAACGCUGGCGGCGUGCUUAACACAUGCAAGUCGAACGGAAAGGCCCUGCUUUUGUGGGGUGCUCGAGUGGCGAACGGGUGAGUAACACGUGAGUAACCUGCCCCUGACUUUGGGAUAACUUCAGGAAACUGGGGCUAAUACCGGAUAGGAGCUCCUGCUGCAUGGUGGGGGUUGGAAAGUUUCGGCGGUUGGGGAUGGACUCGCGGCUUAUCAGCUUGUUGGUGGGGUAGUGGCUUUCCAAGGCUUUGACGGGUAGCCGGCCUGAGAGGGUGACCGGCCACAUUGGGACUGAGAUACGGCCCAGACUCCUACGGGAGGCAGCAGUGGGGAAUAUUGCAGAAUGGGCGGAAGCCUGAUGCAGCAACGCCGCGUGCGGGAUGACGGCCUUCGGGUUGUAAACCGCUUUCGCCUGUGACGAGGCGUGAGUGACGGUAAUGGGUAAGGAAGCACCGGCUAACUACGUG